rnacentral:misc_RNA from 1 species
AUUCAACAAUGAGUUCUCAAGGUCUGCAACUGAAAGGAAGGGAUGAUAAUUUUAAUCUCACAGCAAAAAUACCCCAGUUUUUCAAGAUAAUUCUUCAAAGUACUGCUCUUGCGGGAAGACUUCGGAUUCCGAUAAAGUUUGUGAAGAAAUAUGGGAAUUGUUUAUCAAGUCCAAUUAUCCUUAAGAUUCCUACUGGCAACACGUGGCAAGUAGAGUUGUUAAAGAAUGGGGAUGAUGUUUGGCUUGAAAAGGGUUGGCAAGAAUUUUCAGAGUAUCACUCCCUGAAGCAUGGGC